rnacentral:rRNA from 1 species
UACAGAGGUCCCAAGCGUUGUUCGGAUUCAUUGGGCGUAAAGCGCACGUAGGCGGCUUGGUAUGUCGGGUGUGAAAUCCCCGGGCUCAACCUGGGAACUGCAUCCGAAACUGCCUUGCUAGAGUAUGGGAGAGGGAAGUGGAAUUUCCGGUGUAGCGGUGAAAUGCGUAGAUAUCGGAAGGAACAUCAGUGGCGAAGGCGACUUCCUGGACCAAUACUGACGCUCAGGUGCGAAAGCGUGGGGAGCAAACAGG